rnacentral:rRNA from 1 species
CUGUUCAGAUAGCCAUGCACGUCUAAGUACAAACUAAAAGAUGGUGAAACAGCAAAUAGGCUCAUUACAACGGUUAUGAUGUACCCGGGAGUUCCGAUGGAUAUUUCCAGUAACACUAGAACUAAUACAUGUCCCUGCGUUUAUUAGUUUCGCACAGUCCGUCGCUGAGUCAUGGUAAACAGUUGAUCGACUCGACGUCCCGGAACAGUUUCCGCCCCAUCAGCUUCGAUGGUUGGGUAUUGGCCUACCAUUGCAACAACGGGUAACGAGGAAUUAGGGUUUGAUUUCGGAGAGGGAGCCUGAGAAACGGCUACCACAUCUACGGAUGGCAGCAGGCGCGCAAAUUACCCAAUGCAGACACUGUGAGGUAGUGACGAGAAAUAAUAAAGCGGGACUUCUGUUUCGCUAUUAUAAUGAGGAAUAACCAAAGGUCAUUCCGAUUAGCAACUGAUGGGAAAGUCUGGUGCCAGCAGCCGCGGUAAUACCAGCGUCAGUAGCAU